CAUUACAUCAUUAUCUCCUAUCCAAUAGGAGCAGUCCUUCUCUGAUAUCCUUUCCUGUAACCUCCUCCUCUCCCUCUUUCUUUGCUGCUGCCUCAGCUAAGUAACACUUUGUUUUUUCUCUUAACUGUCAUUUGUACUUAUAUAUGUGUGUAUGACUUUAUUUUAAAUUAUGCCUGUUUUGUGACCUGACUUAAACUCAGCAGAACGCAUUGUGCGUUUGGAGUACACCCCCCCUUCAAGCUAACCCUCCGUGGGGGGGCCCCUUUCCCACAUUGUCCCGCCGGUACCCCGCCCCCCCCGCGGGGAUACCGGCUCCACACUUGCCGCUGGGUAGUUUAUUACCCCCCUCAUCGGUCACGCGGCGCAGGGAACCCUCGAGGACCGGACCGGCUCUCUCUCCCGGCGGAGGGUUCCCCCGCCGCGGCCUCUCGUUCGUGAGCGCCGCGCGCGCAUGCGCGGCCCGUACUGGCGCCCAUCUUAAAGGGGCGGCACUAGAAAAAUUUUUGCCGCUCUUUUUUCUCCCUCAGCUCGUUCAGCCCACUGCAGGGCGCGAGCUGAUUGGUUUGUUUGCUGUACUGUUAGCUUGCCAGUGAUCCCAGGAGCCAUUCCUGAGGGAACACUCGGUAAGCUAACAGUACAUUCUGUGCUUGUUGUCCUGCUGCCUUGUCUCUUGCCUGUUUUAGUAGCUCAUUACUGACACAUCAGGUAGCCAUAUACAUAAUCCUGUCUUUUAAACCCAUGAUGCAGACCCCUGAGGCUUUUUCUGCCCCUGGCACCAGUGAUAAAGGUGAUACUAAGGCCCAGCACGGGCCCUCCGUGGCUGAACCCAUAUCCCUGCAUAGGGACAUGGUGGCCCCUCUGGAGCAAUUGGACUCUGAGGAGUUCCACUCGCUCCUGGACGCCACCAUGUCAAAAUCAGUUACCCAAGCUAUCUUUACC